CUUGAUUAGUGGCGCACGGGUGAGUAAUGCAUAGAUAAUGUGCCCCUUAGUUCGGGAUAGCCACUGGAAACGGUGAUUAAUACCGGAUACUCCUUCUUGUUAUAAGACAAGUCGGGAAAGUUUUUCGCUAAGGGAUCAGUCUAUGUUCCAUCAGCUUGUUGGUGAGGUAAUGGCUCACCAAGGCUAUGACGGAUAUCUGGUUUGAGAGGAUGAUCAGACACACUGGAACUGAGACACGGUCCAGACUCCUACGGGAGGCAGCAGUGAGGAAUAUUGCACAAUGGAGGAAACUCUGAUGCAGCAACGCCGCGUGGAGGAUGACGCAUUUCGGUGUGUAAACUCCUUUUAUUAGGGAAGAUAAUGACGGUACCUAAUGAAUAAGCACCGGCUAACUCCGUGCCAGCAGCCGCGGUAAUACGGAGGGUGCAAGCGUUACUCGGAAUCACUGGGCGUAAAGGGUGCGUAGGCUGGCUUUUAAGUCAGAUGUGAAAUCCAAUGGCUCAACCAUUGAACUGCAUUUGAAACUGAAAGCCUAGAGUUCAGAAGGGGCAGAUGGAAUUAGUGGUGUAGGGGUAAAAUCCGUAGAUAUCACUAGGAAUAUCAAAAGCGAAGGCGAUCUGCUGGGAUGAUACUGACG
rnacentral:rRNA from 1 species